rnacentral:tRNA from 1 species
CGCCUGCUAUUUUCAGAUGGGGAAGUUUUGAUCUUCCUAAAAAACUGUAAUGCUGU